rnacentral:rRNA from 1 species
CUCAGGACGAACGCUGGCGGCGUGCCUAAUACAUGCAAGUCGAACGGUCUUUUCUAUGGAAGCUUGCUUCCACUGAGAAGAUAGUGGCGAACGGGUGAGUAACACGUGGGUAACCUGCCCAUAAGAGGGGGGAUAACAUCCGGAAACGGGUGUUAAUACCGCAUAGUUUUCUUGAUCGCAUGAUCGGGAAAGGAAAGACGGCCUUUGUGCUGUCGCUUAUGGAUGGACCCGCGGCGUAUUAGUUAGUUGGUGAGGUAACGGCUCACCAAGACGAUGAUACGUAGCCGACCUGAGAGGGUGAUCGGCCACAUUGGGACUGAGACACGGCCCAAACUCCUACGGGAGGCAGCAGUAGGGAAUCUUCCGCAAUGGACGAAAGUCUGACGGAGCAACGCCGCGUGAGUGAAGAAAGGUUUUCGGAUCGUAAAACUCUGUUGUCAGAGAAGAACAAGUUGGAGAGUAACUGCUCCAGCCUUGACGGUAUCUGACCAGAAAGCCACGGCUAACUACGUGCCAGCCGCAGC